rnacentral:rRNA from 1 species
AUUGAACGCUGGCGGCAGGCCUAACACAUGCAAGUCGAGCGAGCGGCGGACGGGUGAGCAAUGUAUGGGGAUCUGCACGAUAGAGGGGGAUAACUACUGGAAACGGUGGCUAAUACCGCAUACUAUCGGAUGAACCCAUAUGGGAUUAGCUAGUAGGGGGGGUAAAGGCCCACCUAGGCGACGCUCUCUAGCUGGUCUGAGAGGAUGACCAGCCACACGGAAACGGAGACACGGUCCAGACUCCUACGGGAGGCAGCAGUGGGGAAUAUUGCGCAAGGGGCGCAAGCCUGAUGCAGCCAUGCCGCGUGUAUGAAGAAGGCCUUCGGGUUGUAAAGUACUUUCAGCGAGGAGGCGUUACUCGCAGAAGAAGCACCGGCGAACUCCGUGCCAGCAGCCGCGGUAAUAC